GCCAACUACCAGGUAUCUGGAGAGACAGGCCCUGUCCAUGGCCAACUACCAGGUAUCUGGAGAGACAGGCCCUGUCCCUGGCCAACUACCAGGUAUAACUCUAGAGAGACAGGCCCUGCCCCUGGCCAACUACCAGGUAUCUGCAGAGACA